GAGGGGGAAAAAAAAAAAGAAAAAGAAAAAAAGAAAAGACCAUUUUUGCUGGGUUAAACUUUUAGACUGGGACGCCUUGCUGGCGCAGACAUCCACAGAAGGGCAAAAUGAGAUGAUCCAACUUACCGUCUUUUCCCUCCCCCUCCCUCUCCUCUCCGCCAAAGGCUCUCCCCCACCUCCUCCUUUUUCGAGAUUUGCGAGCCCUGGCGCCUGCUUACUCCUCCUUUGGUUCCCUCUGGUUUUGCAACGUGUCUCGGGGUGUAAUCGGUAGAGAAAGCAGCCGCGUGCGGUCGGAAUGGUGUGGUGGGCUGCAGGCAGAACCCCCGUCUGCUUCCUGUGACACUGUUUCGCGUUGCCUUCUUCCUGUUAUCACCAGCCGGGGCGAGAAGGGAUCGGCGGCUGUGCCGUCCUGCCUGCGCCGACACAACCGUCCUCUGCCGUUUGCAUCGUGACAUUGUCAUCCUUUGUGGAUGGGGGCUUGAUAAUAUUUGUACCAAUUUCAUGCCAAUAAAAGUCAGACUGCUGAACCACGCACGGUCAUUAUCUCAUUUAUAUGACUAUUGUUUAAAUGGAGGGGGCUGCGAGAGAACAGAGAAAGCCUGCCUCACUUUGCGCGAUGGUUGUUAACUUUGAUGUUGGAAGGCUCUUUUCAAAAUUUCCAUUGUGGAUAAUUAGUAUGGCAGGGAAAGCCCUGGAACUUGGGCGGCCUCUGCUCUGAGUGGAAGAGCCGGGUAACGGCUCUCUGAGCCCUUCCUGUUGAAAUGACUUUUUAAACACAUGCUGUGACAUUUUUAAGACAGGUUCCGCCUUUUCCCAUCUGUAGUCAUCCCUCUGGCCUUUCUCUCCUCCCUCUACAACCCCCUCCCCCACCCCGGGGCCCCCAGCAUUAGUGUCAUUAGUAAAAUCAGCCAGGUGCUAUUUUUUUUUUAAGUAUGUAUUGGUCAUGGAAUAGACAGGAAAUGGAAAAUGAACUCUUUAGAUCCUCAAGAGAAUUCUAGUAAACUCUUCACUUUGUUUGUUAGUCCCCAGACUAAAUAUCCCUAAAUGUUGGUGUCUAAAACAGCAUCUGUGAGAACAGAGAAGGAAAUAAUGCAUGCUGUAUAGUUGUCCAGGCUUCUCACAGAGGAGACCUUUAAAUAAACAAGUUUAUGUGUGUAUGACUUUGACCAGGAUGGCUUUUUUUUUUUUUAAUGUUCAAAAGUUGUUCUACUUUGUAAGGGAAAAAAAAAUGAUGUUUGUGACUGCCUUCGAGACAAUUUGUUUAACAGUAGGAGUAAUUGCAGGAACAUGGAAAGAGUGACUGAAGGCAUUUGCUCAGAUCUGAGUGUAGGUGUGGGGGCCGAAAGCAGUGUGGGAACAGUGGGCUGCUUUUCUUAGUAUCUCCGUCUAUUUGAUGACCAUCAAAUUUCCCAGCUCGCUGGUUUUGUUUUUUCUGGAUGGCAUGUUUGAUUAUUUAUCAGAAGGGAAGGGAGUCGCUGAAGCAAAUAAACAUGUGACCGAGGUCUGUUUUGUUUUCCACUCAGAGAGCCUGGCCCUUUGACAGAUAUAGAAAAUAAUAAAUGCAUUGUUUUACGAUGAAAGGAAAUUAUAUGUCUCUCUCUCUUUUUUUAAAAGAAGGCAAAUUAGUUAACCCUUAAGGUUCAGGAGAUUUUUUUUUAAAUCAAAUUUGAAUUUUUUUUUUUUUUUUUUUUUUUGGCCUGGUGAGAAUCUGCCAGGCCUUUUACGCUGGGAGUGAAUCUAUUGCGGUACAUGGGUUUUGGGGAUAGGAGUCCCCAGGCUCAGUUGUUGAGUAGUUUGGCUUUCCUAGGUGCUUUGCCUGGUUGUGCUUGCCUCAGUAGCUCUCUUUAUGGAGUGUGUGUGUGUGUGUGUGAGUGUGUG